UAGAGAGAGACAUGCGCGCAUAUCAAUAAGCGGAGGAAAAGAAACUAACAAGGAUUCCCUUAGUAACGGCGAGUGAAGCGGGAAGAGCUCAAAUUUGAAAUCUUCAAGGUUCUACCUUGACGAAUUGUAGUUUAUAGAAGUGUUUUCUGUUAGUGGAGUGGCAAAAGUUCUUUGGAAUAGGACAUCAUAGAGGGUGAGAAUCCCGUAUUUGGUCAUUCCUCCUAGCGUUGUGAUACACUUUCAACGAGUCGGAUUGUUUGGGAAUGCAGUCCAAAAUGGGUGGUAAAUUUCAUCUAAAGCUAAAUAUUGGCGAGAGACCGAUAGCGAACAAGUACCGUGAGGGAAAGAUGAAAAGAACUUUGAAAAGAGAGUUAAACAGUACGUGAAAUUGUCAAAAGGGAAGCGUUUGACACCAGUGUUGUUUUUCCGAAAAUCAAUUACGAAUGUUUUAGUUUUUGAGGAGUUAUGACUUCAUCGGCUUGCUCCUUUCUUUAUGAAACUUUCUUAAUGCACUUUCGGUUAACAAGUCAACAUCAAUUUCUUUUGUUGUAAAAGGGUAUGAGGAAGGUGGCUUUCUUUUCGGAGAAAGUGUUUAUAGCCUUGUGCCUCUGCAAUCGGAGAGAUUGAGGUCUGCAGCGUAGAUCCUUCGGGGUUAGAUACGUUUGUGCUAAGUUAUAGCUUUUCAUAGACAACUUGUUGACUAUGUUUAGUCUUGUAGCUUACUCGCUGACGCUAUUUUACCUACGCUUAGGAUGUUGAUAGUCACAGCGUGUAC
rnacentral:rRNA from 1 species